AUAUGAGCAUGAAAAGACAGAAGAUGAUCACAUUGCGCAAUUAGUUCUUCACCGUAUUUUGCAAUCUUCAAAUCGCCUUGAGCCCAGACGUUAAUCACCUGCCGGAAAUCACGCUGGAAAUCGUCAACGUUUGUGAAGUACAUUCCUCUAACUUCUUCAAACAAAUCAUCCAAGUUGAGUUGUUCAAAAGAUUGAGGAUACAGUCGUUUGAAUAAAGGACACUGACCGGUAGAUUCCAGUAUUGAAUUCAUUAUGGAUUCCAAUGUUUUGAAUGCAGUAAGCUUGGCCAACCGUCUCUUCUCGAGGAGGUUAUGCUCUAUCACAUUCGAAGGUUUUACCUCACCGGCAUGCUCCUCGGAAAUAGCAUGGGUGAUUAUUCCAUGUACCAUCUUCUCGGAAGAAGGGGAGUUGAAAAAAUCGGUGUUAUCCCUCACAACGGUCAAAGCCAACAAGAUAAAAUCCAACGGCUUCAGAUCAUGCAGAAUCUCGCAAAGCAUUUUCUUCAUUUUAGUCGAUGAUAACACCAUGUUUUACACCAAAGUUAAGAUUAUUGAAUCACCGAUUUAAG
rnacentral:lncRNA from 1 species